rnacentral:rRNA from 1 species
AUUGAACGCUGGCGGCAUGCCUAACACAUGCAAGUCGAACGAGUGGCGUACGGGUUAGUAAUGUCUGGUAAACUGCCUGAUGGAGGGGGAUAACCACUUGAAACGGUAUCUAAUACCGCAUACCAUCGGCUGUGCCUAGAUGGGAUUAGCUAGUAGGUGGGGUAAAGGCUCACAUAGGCGCUGAUCCCUAGCUGGUCUGAGAGGAUGACCAGCCAAACUGGAACGGAGACACGGUCCAGACUCCUACGGAAGGCAGUAGUGGGGAUUAUUGCACAAUGGGCAAAAGCCUGAUGCCGCCAUGCCGCGUGGAUGAAGAAGGACGUGUGUUUGUAACGUACGUUCAGCGGGGAGGAGUUACCCGCAGAAGAAGCACCGGCUAACUACGUGCCAGCAGCCGCGGUAAUAC